GAUGAACGCUAGCGGCAGGCUUAAUACAUGCAAGUCGAGGGGCAGCAUAAGUAGCAAUACUUGAUGGCGACCGGCAAACGGGUGCGGAACACGUACGCAACCUUCCUUUAAGUGGGGAAUAGCCCGGGGAAACCCGGAUUAAUACCCCGUAAUAUUAUGAUGUGGCAUCACAUUAUAAUUAUAGAUUCAUCGCUUAAAGAUGGGCGUGCGCCUGAUUAGGUAGUUGGCGGAGUAAUAGCCCACCAAGCCUGCGAUCAGUAACUGGUGUGAGAGCACGACCAGUCACACGGGCACUGA
rnacentral:rRNA from 1 species